AGGACGAACGCUGGCGGCGUGCUUAACACAUGCAAGUCGAGCGAGGUCCAACCGGUGGCAAACACCGGGGAAGACCUAGCGGCGAACGGGUGAGUAACACGUGAGAAACCUGCCCCGAAGUUCGGGAUAACCCGGGGAAACCCGAGCUAAUACCGGAUACCCACGAUUGGUCGCAUGGCCGAUCGUGGAAAGAACUUCGCUUCGGGAGGGUCUCGCGGCCUAUCAGCUUGUUGGUGGGGUAACGGCCCACCAAGGCAUCGACGGGUAGCUGGUCUGAGAGGACGAUCAGCCACACUGGGACUGAGACACGGCCCAGACUCCUACGGGAGGCAGCAGUGGGGAAUCUUGCGCAAUGGGCGAAAGCCUGACGCAGCAACGCCGCGUGCGGGAUGAAGGCCUUCGGGUUGUAAACCGCUUUCAGUAGGGACGAAAUUGACGGUACCUACAGAAGAAGCCCCGGCCAACUACGUG
rnacentral:rRNA from 1 species